rnacentral:rRNA from 1 species
AGUGAACGCUAGCGGUAGGCCUAACACAUGCAAGUCGAACGGCAGCACAGUAAGAGCUUGCUCUUACGGGUGGCGAGUGGCGGACGGGUGAGGAAUACAUCGGAAUCUACUUUUUCGUGGGGGAUAACGUAGGGAAACUUACGCUAAUACCGCAUACGACCUACGGGUGAAAGCAGGGGAUCUUCGGACCUUGCGCGAUUGAAUGAGCCGAUGUCGGAUUAGCUAGUUGGCGGGGUAAAGGCCCACCAAGGCGACGAUCCGUAGCUGGUCUGAGAGGAUGAUCAGCCACACUGGAACUGAGACACGGUCCAGACUCCUACGGGAGGCAGCAGUGGGGAAUAUUGGACAAUGGGCGCAAGCCUGAUCCAGCCAUACCGCGUGGGUGAAGAAGGCCUUCGGGUUGUAAAGCCCUUCUGUUGGGAAAGAAAAGCAGCAGGUUAAUACCCCGCUGUUCUGACGGUACCCAAAGAAUAAGCACCGGCUAACUUCGUG